UAUCAUGAAUGGGAAAAAAAAGGAAAG
rnacentral:piRNA from 1 species